UAGGGUUAGGGUAAAGUCAGAGAUGUUAUAGGGUUAGGGUAAAGUCAGAGAUGUUAUAGGGGUAGGGUAAGGUCAGAGAUGUUAUAGGGUUAGGGUAAAGUCAGAGAUGUUAUAGGGUUAGGGUAAGGUCAGAGAUGUUAUAGGGUUAGGGUAAGGUCAGAGAUGUUAUAGGGUUAGGGUAAGGUCAGAGAUGUUAUAGGGUAGGGUAAGGUCAGAGAUGUUAUAGGGUUAGGUAAGAGAUGUUAUAGGGUUAGGGUAAAGUCAGAGAUGUUAUAGGGUAGGGUAAGGUCAGAGAUGUUAUAGGGUUAGGUAAGAGAUGUUAUAGGGUUAGGGUAAAGUCAGAGAUGUUAUAGGGUUAGGGUAAAGUCAGAG